rnacentral:rRNA from 1 species
UAAAGAUAUAUUGUGAAAUAUAUUGAAGAUAUCAGAAAAGAAAAUGCUGGCAUUAGUAACAAAAAAUAACGUAUAUGAAUCGUUAUCACCGUAAAUCCAAGGGUUUCUAUGUUAAAAUGUAUUGCAUAGAGUGAAACGGCCCCUAAGAAAGAUUUGACGAAAGCAAAUUUUGAUGGGAUAAUUUUUAAAUUAAAUUUUUUUAAAAAAGUGACAAAAAUUUUUUAAUUUUUCAGGAAAUAGCUUUUUUAAUUAAAAACCGUACCCUAAACCGACACAGGUGGAUAGGUCGAGUAGACUAAGGUGAAUGAGAGAACUAUAUUGAAGGAACUCGGCAAAAUGACUUUGUAACUUCGGGAUAAAAAGUACCUAAUUAUUUAAAUUAAUUAGGUGUCACAAAAUAGGGGGUUGCGACUGUUUAAUAAAAACUUAGGACUCUGCUAAAUGGUAACAUGAUGUAUAGGGUCUGACACCUGCCCGGUGCUGGAAGAUUAAAAGGAGAUGUUUGCGCAUUAAAUGGAAGUCCCAGUAAACGGCGGCCGUAACUCUGACGGUCCUAAGGUAGCGAAAUUCCUUGUCGGGUAAGUUCCGACCUGCAUGAAUGGUGUAACGACAUCCCCGCUGUCUCCAAUAUAGACUCAGUGAAUUUGAAUUAUCCGUGAAGAUGCGGAUUUUCUAUAGUUAGACGGAAAGACCCCGUGAACCUUUACUACAUCUUUAUAUUGUUAUUUUAUCUAAUACGUGUAGCAUAAGUGGUAAUCUUUUAGAUCUUUACGCUAGUAAAUUGUUUAGAUAUCCUUGAAAUACCACUCUUAUUAUAAUAAAUAACUAAUAUUUUUUUAAAUAGACAGUGUAUGGUUGGUAGUUUGACUGGGGCGGUCACCUCCUAAAGAGUAACGGAGGUGUACAAAGGUAAGCUCAAAUUGGAUAAUAGUAUCAAUUGUAGAGCAUAAUGGUAAAAGCUUGCUUGACUGUAAGAUAGACAUAUCAAACAGGGACGAAAGUCGGUCAUAGUGAUCCGAUAAUUCUUUGUGGAAAGAUUAUCGCUCAACGGAUAAAAGGUACUCCGGGGAUAACAGGCUGAUGACUCCUAAGAGCUCCUAUCGACGGAGUCGUUUGGCACCUCGAUGUCGACUCAUCACAUCCUGGAGCUGAAGAAGGUUCCAAGGGUUCGGCUGUUCGCCGAUUAAAGUGGUACGUGAGUUGGGUUUAGAACGUCGUGAGACAGUUUGGUUCCUAUCUUCUAUAGAUGUUUUGAAAAA